ensembl:lncRNA
UAGCAAUAUCAUCAGAAUAAUUCAGGAGCACAAAGAGACUGAAACAUCCCUCUGUGACUGUAUUACCCCACCAAGAUUAUGCACACACUAAAUUCACAGAAGAGUGAAGGACACAGCUUCCAUUAUAUACUGCCACUUCUUCAUGUUGCUGCUGCCUGAUACAAUCCUCAAUGCUUUUCUUCACCUUCCCUCUGACUCUUGAGACUCCAUUUCAGUGGUAUUAUAAUCAACCAUCUUCAGUCUUAGUCAAGAAAUACUUGUUUUCCUUGGGAGAAGACUUUUGGAGUAUCUGGAAAUGCAUAUUGACAAUCUCCACGCAUGCCAUGGAAAGAAUAAUCCCACAGCUAAACACCCAGCUGAGAAAGUAACAUAUUUAGUUGUGAAGCUGAACCCAUUAGGAGCAAGGAAAGUAGAAUAAUGAUAUCUCUACAUUUCAGGCACAAGUGAAGUUUUGAUAUAUCAUCUGCUAGAAAUAUCUGUGCAAGACUUAUAUUUUAUGUUAUUCUUGCCUCUUCAUAAUUGUAGAUAGUGAUUGAAAUUGGGCUGAAUAAUGCUUUAUACUAUUUUACACAUUCUUUAAUUAUGAAAGAAAUAGAUAAAAUCUGAAUACAUUCAUUUUCUCCUCCAAACUGUAAUUUUAGGAAGAUUUAUUUAAAGAAAAAAGGCAGAAUAAAACAGAGUAAUGAGGAAAGAAGAAAGAAAAUAACAGAGAGAUUUGCAAGAUAAAGGAGCACAAGAGCUCUAUAUAAACAAUAAAGAGAUCAAAACUGAAAGACAACUGUAGACUCUUCCUACAAGAUAUCACCAACAUGUUUAACUAAACAAGAUUCAACUGUAUCAUCAAAUGAAUCAUCAGUUAAAUAAACAGCAUGCAAAUGAUAAAAUAAUUUUUACAUAUCUUGGGAAAACACAAGUUUUUAAUUCAUGGCACCCUAUGGAUGACAGUAAAAACAAGACUGUAAGAGCUGUUAUUGUUAGAAGAAUUUGGAAAUCUGCUUUUUUUUUUUUUUCUUGAGCUCACACUAUCAUUUAAAUACAGUCUCAUUUGCAGUUAUCCAACAAAAAGAGAUUAAUUAAUUUGUUCUAACAGAGUCAGGUUAAAUCCAAACUGCUUACUUUGUAAAUAUUGCUUGUCCAUAUUAUCUAUAUUAGGUGUUACUUUUGUGCAACUUUACUUAAAAUGUCUUCCAUUGACAAGUGUUUUAUAUAAAGACCUUAGAAAUGCAAGUGUCAUUACUAAAAUAAGGACUUUUUAAAGUAUUGCAAGUAAAUAUUAAGAUUUGUACUUAAUCAUGUGUAUAUGUAUUCAGAAGCUUCUUAUCAAGUAGAUUUAAUCAGUGUCAUGAGCUCAGGAAUGUGGCAAGGAG